rnacentral:misc_RNA from 1 species
CGCACAUUGCGCCCGCCAGCACUCUGGCGGGCAUGCCUGUCCGAGCGUCAUUUCCACCCUCAGGCCCUGUUAGCCUGGCGUUGGGGCUUCUGUAGGCCAGUCCCUGCAGGCCCUCAAGACCAGUGGCGGGCUCGCCUAGACUCCGAGCGCAGUAAUUUCUCUCGCUCAGGGGGCUCUAGGCGGGUUUAGCCGUUAAACCCCAUAAAAUUUUAAAAGGUUGACCUCGGAUCAGGUAGGGAUACCCGCUGAACUUAA